CGAAGUUGUUCGAGAACUUGAGGAUUUUCAUCUAGGAACUUGAUGAGCCAAGUGAGAGCAGCUGUGGUGGUAUCAUGACCUGCAACUAGAAGAGUUAAUAUGUUAUCCUUCAAUUGAUUGUCAGUUCCAGGCUCAUGAUCAUGUUACCAAUUACUUUUAGAGUGAACUGCAAAAGGCAAAAGAUUCACCUACAUCUUUAAAGCCAGCACAGAAAUGCGGAAUUCAGCUAAAUAUACCAGAAGGACUGGAGAAUUCAGACAGGAAGUCGAAGCUUUCGCCGACAAUUGGCCAACCCAAGCUUCCAGGGAUAUCUUCCAUGGCUUUUGGUGAUAUCCAUAAAUGAAGCAAGAAGAAAGUUGAGAGCACAAGUAUGGUUAUGAGGAUUAAGAUCAUUAAUAUCCCAAGCUCCAUUUCUGCUAGAUACUGAAUGUUGAGGUAACUCUAAUCAUAUGUCAGGAGCUAUAUUUAUAUAGUGAUUAAAUUAAAAGAAAUAACCUAUGAAUUCUCGGCA